rnacentral:tRNA from 1 species
GCCACAUUGGCUCAGUUGGUAGAGCAACGCAUUCGUAAUGCGUGGGUCGGGGGUUCGAGUCCCCCAUGUGGCU